AAGCCGAGGGUGAUCGCCUUGCUGCCGCUGCCGCUGCCGGCGGCGGCGGCAGAGGUGCCGUCCUCCUUGGCGCA
rnacentral:tRNA from 1 species